GGAUUUGACGGCGAUGGAGCUCGCCAGGAUUAAAUUCCAAACUGCUUUCUUAGAAGCUAAUGGCUCCUACCCUAUC
rnacentral:ncRNA from 23 species